GGUACCUUUAAUUCAGUCCAGAGAGGCUGACAAGGACAGCGGAUUUUUAUAAUCACGUGAGAAGCAGGGCAUAUUCCGUCAAGGGAUGCUCUGUGUCUUAGCGCGGAUUAUGAUGAACAAAAGAGGCUACUUGUCAGUUUGAUCUGACGAGUAGCCUCUUUUGU
rfam:Paenibacillus sp. FSL H7-0737, complete genome.